UACGUAGGGGGCGGGCGUUGUCCGGAUUUACUGGGCGUAAAGCGCGUGUAGGCGGCCCGUUAAGUGGGGUGUGAAAGCCCGGGGCUCAACCCCGGGACGCCGCUUCAAACUGGCGGGCUUGAGGACGGAAGAGGGGAGUGGAAUUCCUGGUGUAGCGGUGAAAUGCGUAGAGAUCAGGAGGAACACCCGUGGCGAAGGCGGCUCCCUGGUCCGUCCCUGACGCUGAGACGCGAAAGCGCGGGGAGCGAACGGG
rnacentral:rRNA from 1 species